CCCCUCUCAGGGUGGCACCUGGAGAGUUUCCAUUCCUCUACCAGUCUCGGCUACGGGAGGGAGAGUCAGGCAGCGGCCUGUCCAUUCCACUGCUAGCUUGGGCAGUGGCUAGCCAGUGGAGGACAAUCUGCUAAAAGU